rnacentral:rRNA from 1 species
UACGUAGGGUGCAAGCGUUAAUCGGAAUUACUGGGCGUAAAGCGUGCGCAGGCGGUUGUGCAAGACCGAUGUGAAAUCCCCAGGCUUAACCUGGGAACUGCAUUUGUGACUGCAUCGCUGGAGUGCGGCAGAGGGGGAUGGAAUUCCGCGUGUAGCAGUGAAAUGCGUAGAUAUGCGGAGGAACACCGAUGGCGAAGGCAAUCCCCUGGGCCUGCACUGACGCUCAUGCACGAAAGCGUGGGGAGCAAACAGG